GGCUCAGGAUGAACGCUAGCUACAGGCUUAACACAUGCAAGUCGAGGGGUAACAAGAGGAAAGCUUGCUUUUCUUGUUGACGACCGGCGCACGGGUGAGUAACGCGUAUCCAACCUGCCUAUAACUAGGGAAUAACCUUGCGAAAGUAAGACUAAUACCCUAUGAUUUCCUUUGAUGACAUCAGAUUAGGAAUAAAGAUUUAUCGGUUAUAGAUGGGGAUGCGUCUGAUUAGCUUGUUGGCGGGGUAACAGCCCACCAAGGCGACGAUCUGUAGCUGGUCUGAGAGGACGACCAGCCACACUGGGACUGAGACACGGCCCAGACUCCUACGGGAGGCAGCAGUGGGGAAUUUUGGACAAUGGACGCAAGUCUGACCCAGCCAUGCCGCGUGAAGGAUGAAGGCCCUCUGGGUUGUAAACUUCUUUUAUCUGGGGCGAAAGGCGGUUAUUCUUAGCCGUUUGACAGUACCAGAGGAAUAAGCACCGGCUAACUCCGUG
rnacentral:rRNA from 1 species